UCUAAAUCAACAAUUAGCUGUACUGGAACUUGUACUUCCCUUUCUUAAUAUGGCUACAACUUACAAAAGAAAAUGCAACACCGAAUUAAUUUGUAACCAACUAGACAUAUGAAGAGUAACCAUUUGAACUGAAGUUGAAAUUCAAGUGUUAAGCAGCAGAUGUCCACAAACACGUGAAAAAGUUCAGUUCAACUUUAUACAGUAAUAUGAAGAAAGCCGAGAAAUUAAUGUCUCCAUAUAGUCAACAACAUCUUUAGCGUUUGACCCAUCCAUGUUCAAGCCUUGCAAUUUAAUGGAAGCUUUACUUCCUAACAAGCUCUUCAAAUAAAUUAUACAUCUCAUCGACUGCUCCUAUCAUCCUUCUUGUCCCUCCCAUUUCUGUCCCCUUUGUUAUUCCUGUCAUCCUUGGUACUCGUUUGAGGAGUGUACUGACUAGUAGAUGAUGGUGAGUACCCAGGUGCACUAGGCGAAUACCCAGCACUAGGGCUAUAUUGUGGGGAACUUGGGCUAUAAUCUGGGCUGACUCCAGAAUUAUAUGGGCUGCUAGGACUAUAUGUUGGGCUUGAAGGGGAAUAUGAUGGAGAGGUUGGAGAAUAUGAUGGUGAUGUUGGGCUAUAAUUUGGAGAUGUAGGGCUGUAAGGACUUGAUGGUGACAAUCUUGGACUGCU
rnacentral:misc_RNA from 1 species